UACGUAGGGUGCGAGCGUUAAUCGGAAUUACUGGGCGUAAAGCGUGCGUAGACGGCUAUCUAAGUCGGGUGUGAAAGCCCCGGGCUCAACCUGGGAAUUGCAUUCGAGACUGAAUAGCUAGGGUGCGGUAGAGGGAAGCGGAAUUUCCGGUGUAGCGGUGAAAUGCGUAGAUAUCGGAAGGAACAUCAGUGGCGAAAGCGGCUUCCUGGACCAGCAC
rnacentral:rRNA from 1 species